UCAGUCGGCUGGACGGCCGCUCCCGCUACGGUCGAAAGGCUGCGGGAGAGGAAAGUCCGGGCUCCAUCGACAUACGGUGCCGGAUAACGUCCGGCGGGGGUGACCCCAGGGAAAGUGCCACAGAGAACGAACCGCCCUCCUACGCAGCUUCGCUGCUUCGGCGCGACAGGCCCUCGGGCUCGCCACGCCGCAACCCGCAAGGGUGAAGGCGGGUAAGGGUGAAAAGGUGCGGUAAGAGCGCACCGCGUAUCCGGCAACGGAAACGGCAUGGCAAACCACACCGGGAGCAAAACCGAAUAGGGACGGCAAAGCAGUCAGUUCGCUCACCUUGAGCGAUAACACUGCGGGGCAAUGUCUUGCUCGCUGUCCGGGUAGGUUGCUUGAGGCCAUAGGCAACUAUGGUCCCAGAGGAAUGGCCGUCACGUAUCGCCGGUGCAAAUCGGCGAUGCCCUACAGAACCCGGCUUACAGGCCGGCUGAUAAC
rnacentral:RNase_P_RNA from 1 species